AUACUUACCUGGCAGGGGAAAUACCAUGAUCAGCAAGGUGGUUUUCCCAGCAUGAGGCUCAUCCAUUGCACUGCGGGUGUGCUGACCUCUGUGAUUUCCCCAAAUGUGGGAAACUCAACUGCAGAAUUUGUGGUAGUGGGGGACUGCGUUCGUGCUUUCCCCUA
rnacentral:snRNA from 1 species